rnacentral:lncRNA from 1 species
CAGUGCUUAAUAAAUACUCAGUGAAUAACUGAUCUCUCUUGUGCUCUAAAACACACACCCCUGCUCAUUCCUGGAGGCCAUUGGUCAGCUCUUCAGACCAGCCAGGCCCUGCCUCUUUGCUGCCUUCCUGAACUCACAAAUAAGCUGGGGCAGGGGAAGGGGAAGGAGCCGGAGCCAUCUGUUCUUGGCCUGCAUGGGUGGUACCAGACUUGACCUGUUCUUUCAUGGACAUCUCUCCUUCUGUCUGUCUGCUAACUCGUUUUGUCUCUCUUCUCCAUUAUAUGUCUCAUCACUAUGUACACCUUUGUCAUCUCUCCACACUCUUCUGUUGCUAUUCUUUAUCCCUGGGAUUGUACCCAGAGAUAUCUGCCUGGAUGAGAGAAAUUGCUCAUUCACAUUAAAAAGGUUAUUGCUGUCUCCAGGACAGUUUAACUAGAUGGCCUCCAGACUUCUUCCUCCUAUUUUUUGAAAUACCCUCUUCUUUAUACUUGGUUAGGACCCAAGAACUACUCUCUCAUCCAUUCCCAUCUGAUUUGUUGCUUAUGUUUGAUACAGAAUUUUCGUGUCCUAAGUCCAGAAUUCACAAACCUCUUAUCCAGUGGAGAGACCCACAUGGGGAAAGCAGCAGGGGGAUCUCACAGUUCAAGCUCCUCCUUUUACAAAAAAGGAAACUGAGACUUAGGAGUAACCAACCACAGUUCCAGAGGACCAGUGAUGAAGCAUACUACCUUCUUCCUGACAAAGAUGAUGGCCUCGAAAGGCAGAAUGAGACAUAUACUUUUGGACAUGGCCAAUGCAGGAAUUUGUUUUGCUUGGUUGUAUAGUUGAUACAAGGGCUUUGUUUUUCUUUUAAAUUGGGGGGAGGUGGAAGGGAGGAAAAAAAUUUGUUAAUUAAAAAAAUUAAAGGGGAAAAAAAGACAGAUCCAGUGAGUAAUUGACGACAUGUGACUGGCAUUGAGUAAAGAAAUUAGGCCUAGAUAAAUGAUUCUAACCUAUCUUUUCAGGCUAAUUAGAUGUUAUUCUCUCUUAUACACUCUAUAUUCUAGCUAAAAUGGACAAUUUGCCAUUCCCCAUAGACAGCAUUUUCUCACUCUCUUUUUUGCCUCUUUACCAGUGGUCUCUUCAUGCCUUGAAUAUCCUUCCUCACGUCUGACUCUUGAAAUCCUUGUCUUCCUACAAUGUGCAACUCAGGUGCCAAUUUCUCCAAGAGGCCUUUCCCAAUCCCCAAUCAAAAUCAAAGGAGCUCAGAGUGGAGAGGGACCUCAAAGGUCAUCCAGCCCAAGUUAUCUCUGAGCAAGAGUCUUUUUUCAACAUCUUUGACAGGUAGUCAUUCAACUUCUGUUUCAAGGCCUUUGAUGAGAGGAAACCAAUCACCUCUUGAUUUGUUUUUGUUUUUGCUAGGUAAUGGGGUUAAGUGACUUGGCCAGGGUCACACAGCUAGUAAGUGUCAAGUGUCUGGUUUGAGGCAGGAUUUGAACUCAGGUCCUCCUGACUCCAGGGCCAGUGCCAAUCACCUCUUGAGAGAGGCCAGGCCAUUAUGGGACUCUUCUAGUUGUUAUUAAGCUUCUCCUUGUAUUGAGCUGAAAUCUGCCUCCCUAUAAUUAACAUCCAUUGCUCCUGAUUCUAAUCUAUAGGGCCAAUCUCUCUUCUACAAGGUAGACUCUUAAGGGCUUGAAGACAAGGAUCUUGCCCCUCCACCCAUUCCUCCCUCCAGUCUUCUAUGUUCAGGACUAAACGUUCUGAGCAACUUCAUCUAUUCCAAUGGUAUGGUGUUGUGUUCCUUCCUCUGUUACCUUUCUCUGGAUGUGCUCAAGCUUCUCGAUGUCCUUCCUAAAACACAGCACCCAGUACUGAACGUAACAACAACAAUAAUGAUAUUAAUGAGACAGUGGGUUGAUAUAUUGUGCUGGAUUUGGAGCUGGGAAAACCUGGGUUCAAAUCUCACUCCUGGCACUUGCUAGCUGUGUGAUGGAAGCAAGCCACUUAAUAUCUCAAUGUCUCAGGUGCCCCCUAGGACUUGUCUAAUAAAUCAUAGACCAGUUGAGAUUUGCCUUUGGUG